GACGAACGCUGGCGGCGUGCUUAACACAUGCAAGUCGAACGGAAAGGCCCUGCUUUUGUGGGGUGCUCGAGUGGCGAACGGGUGAGUAACACGUGGGUAACCUGCCCUUGACUUUGGGAUAACUUCAGGAAACUGGGGCUAAUACCGGAUAGGAGCUCCUGCUGCAUGGUGGGGGUUGGAAAGUUUCGGCGGUUGGGGAUGGACUCGCGGCUUAUCAGCUUGUUGGUGGGGUAGUGGCUUACCAAGGCUUUGACGGGUAGCCGGCCUGAGAGGGUGACCGGGCACAUUGGGACUGAGAUACGGCCCAGACUCCUACGGGAGGCAGAAGUGGGGAAUAUUGCACAAUGGGCGGAAGCCUGAUGCAGCAACGCCGCGUGCGGGAUGACGGCCUUCGGGUUGUAAACCGCUUUCGCCUGUGACGAAGCGUGAGUGACGGUAAUGGGUAAAGAAGCACCGGCUAACUACGUG
rnacentral:rRNA from 1 species